AUGAACGCUGGCGGCGUGCCUAAUACCUGCAAGUCGAGCGAACAGAUGAGGAGCUUGCUCCUCUGACGUUAGCGGCGGACGGGUGAGUAACACGUGGAUAACCUACCUAUAAGACUGGGAUAACUUCGGGAAACCGGAGCUAAUACCGGAUAAUAUAUUGAACCGCAUGGUUCAAUAGUGAAAGACGGUUUUGCUGUCACUUAUAGAUGGAUCCGCGCCGCAUUAGCUAGUUGGUAAGGUAACGGCUUACCAAGGCAACGAUGCGUAGCCGACCUGAGAGGGUGAUCGGCCACACUGGAACUGAGACACGGUCCAGACUCCUACGGGAGGCAGCAGUAGGGAAUCUUCCGCAAUGGGCGAAAGCCUGACGGAGCAACGCCGCGUGAGUGAUGAAGGUCUUCGGAUCGUAAAACUCUGUUACUAGGGAAGAACAAAUGUGUAAGUAACUAUGCACGUCUUGACGGUACCUAAUCAGAAAGCCACGGCUAACUACGUG
rnacentral:rRNA from 1 species